ACAUGUUUAGUAUAAGUUAAUACAUUAGAUUUAGGUUCUAAAAAUUAUAAUAUGUU
rnacentral:tRNA from 1 species